rnacentral:rRNA from 1 species
AGAGUUUGAUCCUGGCUCAGAACGAACGCUGGGGGCGUGGAUAAGACAUGCAAGUCGAGCGCUGAUUACGGGGUACCAAUAUUCCGUGGUCGGAGCGGCGCAAGGGUGCGUAACACGUGGGUAAUCUGCCAUGAAGUUCGGGAUAACUCGCUGAAAGGCGAGCUAAUACCGGAUGUGACAACUGAAAGGCAUCUUUUGGUUGUUAAAGUUGGGGACCGUAAGGCCUGACGCUUCUUGAUGAACCCGCGGCCUAUCAGCUAGUUGGUGAGGUAACGGCUCACCAAGGCUAAGACGGGUAGCUGGUCUGAGAGGACGACCAGCCACACUGGAACUGAGACACGGUCCAGACACCUACGGGUGGCAGCAGUCGAGAAUUUUUCACAAUGGGCGCAAGCCUGAUGGAGCGACGCCGCGUGGGGGAUGAAUGGCUUCGGCCCGUAAACCCCUGUCAUUUGCGAUCAAACCUCAUUAUUUAAAAGAUGAUGAGCUGAUAGUAGCGAAAGAGGAAGGGACGGCUAACUCUGUGCCAGCAGCCGCGGUAAUACAGAGGUCCCAAGCGUUGUUCGGAUUCACUGGGCGUAAAGGGUGCGUACGUGGUGAGGUAAGUCGGAUGUGAAAGCUCGGAGCUCAACUCCGAAAUGGCAUUGGAAACUACCUUGCUCGAGGGUUGGAGGGGGGACUGGAAUACUUGGUGUAGCAGUGAAAUGCGUAGAUAUCAAGUGGAACACCAGUGCGAAAGCGAGUCCCUGGACAACUCCUGACACUGAAGCACGAAAGCUAGGGAGCAAACAGGAUUAGAUACCCUGUAGUCCUAGCCGUAAACGGUGCAUGUUUGCUGUAAAAGAAUCGACCCCUUUUGUGGCGGAACCAACGCGUUAACAUGCGCUGAGAAGUAACGGCGAAGAUUAAACCCAAAGAAAUUGCCGGGGCCCGACAAACGGGAACCUGUGCUCAAUUCGACGCUCCCAAGAAACCUUACCUGGUCCGAAUGUGUGGACACUUGAAUGAAUACGCCUUCCGCAUAGGACCAUAAGCCUGCAUUGCGACCUCACUCCCGCACGUAAGGCUGUGAGUUAAUUCUGCAUCAAUGGAAAUCCUGGC